rnacentral:rRNA from 1 species
AUGUUAAACGAGAAGACUUCAGAUAUGAUCCAGAGUACCACGGGACACGUGAAACCCUGUGGGAAGCAGGAGGGACCACCCUCCAAGGCUAAAUACUACCUAGUGACCGAUAGCGUAUAGUACCGUGAGGGAAAGGUGAAAAGAACCCCGGGAGGGGAGUGAAAUAGAACCUGAAACCCUGCACUUACAAGCUGUGGAAGCACAUUUCUUGUGUGACCGCGUACUUUUUGUAGAACGGGCCAACGAGUUACGUUAAGUAGCAAGGUUAAGCACUUAAGGUGCGGAGCCGUAGCGAAAGCGAGUUUUAACUGAGCGUUCAGUUACUUGACGUAGACCCGAAACCGGGCGACCUACCCAUGAGCAGGAUGAAGCGAAAGUAAAAUUUCGUGGAGGUCCGAACCCACGAGCGUUGAAAAGCUCGGGGAUGACUUGUGGGUAGCGGUGAAAUUCCAAUCGAGCCCGGAGAUAGCUGGUUCUCCCCGAAAUAGCUUUAGGGCUAGCCUCAAGGUGAGAGAUACGGAGGUAGAGCACUGAAUGUCCUAGGGGGUAUUGCACCUACCGAAGACUAUCAAACUCCGAAUGCCGUCAUCUUAUACUUGGGAGUCAGACUGUGGGUGAUAAGAUUCAUAGUCGAAAGGGCAACAGCCCAGAUCGUCAGCUAAGGUCCCUAAAUGUAAGUUAAGUGGUAAAGGAUGUGGGAUUGCACAGACAACCAGGAUGUUGGCUUAGAAGCAGCCACUCAUUCAAAGAGUGCGUAAUAGCUCACUGGUCGAGUGAUCCUGCGCCGAAGAUUUCCGGGGCUAAAACUUACUACCGAAGCUACGGCAUCAGUAAUGAUGGGUAGGGGAGCUUCCCAUACGGGUUGAAGCAUGACCGUAAGGACAUGUGGACAGUAUGGGAGUGAGAAUGUUGGCAUGAGUAGCGAGAUGUGGGUGAGAAUCCCACAGGCCGUAAACCCAAGGUUUCCAGGGGAAGGUUCGUCCGCCCUGGGUUAGUCGGGACCUAAGCUGAGGCCGAAAGGCGUAGGUGAUGGACAACAGGUUGAUAUUCCUGUACUACCGAUAACCGUUUGAGAGAAGGGAUGACACAGUAGGAUAAGCUAAGCACACUGUUGGUUAUGUGUGCCCAAGCAUUGAGGCAGUCAAAGUAGGCAAAUCCGCUUUGAUAAUGCUGGGAUGUGAUGGGGAGCGAAAUUUAGUAGCGAAGUAGCUGAUUUCACACUGUCAAGAAAAGUCUCUAUCGAGGUUAAAGGUACCCGUACCGCAAACCGACACAGGUGGGUGAGGAGAGUAUCCUAAGGCCAGCGAGAGAACUGUUGUUAAGGAACUCGGCAAAAUGACCCCGUAACUUAGGGAUAAGGGGUGCCACCAUCAGGUGGCCGCAGAGAAUAGGCCCAAGCGACUGUUUACCAAAAACAUAGGUUUCUGCUAAGUCGCAAGACGAUGUAUAGGAGCUGACGCCUGCCCGGUGCUGGAAGGUUAAGGGGAUCUGUUAGAGCAAUCGAAGCAGUGAACUUAAGCCCCAGUAAACGGCGGCCGUAACUAUAACGGUCCUAAGGUAGCGAAAUUCCUUGUCGGGUAAGUUCCGACCCGCACGAAAGGCGUAACGAUUUGGGCACUGUCUCAACAACAGACUCGGUGAAAUUGUAAUUCCGGUGAAGAUGCCGGAUACCUGCGACAGGACGGAAAGACCCCAUGGAGCUU